rnacentral:tRNA from 1 species
GUUUAUAUAAUUUAUGUAGAAUAUUGUACUGAAGCUACGAAAGAGAUAUUACGUCUGUAAACA